rnacentral:rRNA from 1 species
ACGGGCUGGCCUACCAUGAAAGUCGAACGGUAACAGGAAGCGCCUUGUUGCUUUGCUGACGAGUGGCGGACGGGUGAUUAAUGUCUGGGAAACUGCCUGAUGGAGGGGGAUAACUACUGGAAACGGUAUCUAAUACCGCAUAAUGUCACAAGACCAAAGAGGGGGACCUUCGGGCCUCUUGCCAUCAGAUGUGCCCAGAUGGGAUUAGCUAGUAGGUGGGGUAACGGCUCACCUACGCGACUAUCCCUAUCUGGUCAGAGAAGAUGACCCCCCACUCUGGAACUGACACGCGGCCCACACUCCUACGGGAGGCAGCUGUGGGGAAUAUUGCACAGUGGGCGCACGCCUGAUGCACCCGUGCCGCGUGUAAGAAAAAGGCCUUCGGUUUGUAAAGUACUUUCCGCGGGGAAGAGGGUGAUGAGGUUAAUACCCUUGUCUAUUGACUUUACCCGCAAAAAAAGCCCCGGCUAACUCCGUGCCAGCCCCCGCGGUAAUACAGAGGGUGCAAGCGUUAAUCAGAAUUACUGGGCAUAAAGCGCACGCAGGCGGUCUGUCAAGUCAGAUGUGAACUCCCCGGGCUCAACCUGGAAACUGCUUUCGAAACUGGCGCGCUAGACUCUUGUAGAGGGGGGUAGAAUUCCGUGUGUAGCGGUGAUGUGCAUAGAUAUCUGGAAGAAUACCGGUGGCGAACGCCCCCCCGUGGACAAACACUGACUCUCGUGUGCGAGAGCGUGGAGAGCACACGAGAUUAUACACUCUGAUACUCCACGCCAUACAAUAUGUCGACUUGGAUGUGUGCUCUUGACGCGUCGUCUUCCAGCAUCUAACGCGUUAAGUCCACCGUCGUGGAGUAGUACCGCCGCCGAUGAUAACUACUCAUAAUGAAGUUCGACGGGCGCCCGCAGCAGCUAGUAGCAUCAUGUUGUUUUUAUGUCGUAUGCAACGAAGAAAGAAACCCUU